AUCAGCUUUUCAAGACUAAUUCAGUUUGAUGAAAGAGUUCGUUAUGAAGAUAUCUCAUUGUGUGCUUUUAAUGCUUGAACAACGUUUGGAGCUGAAAGGGACGUAGGUCGUGAUCGGGUAAUUUUCGUUAUUUGUAUGUUGGUAUAGUGUGUGGUAGAUUGAGCUAUUGGCUUAGCUAUAGAUAAGGGCUGGAAUGAGCCAGUGGCGGUAAGGUUUUAAGUCAGUUUUGUUGAUUUGGUCACCGUUUAUGUGAUAUUUCACAUGCGCUAUGAGAUGCUGCUUGAUGCUUUUGAAACAUGGGACAUACUCAUGAUGGACAGGGGAUGUACACCUUUGAAGUGAUUCAGUAGACACUACAGUCUGUAGCAGGGGAGGUCAUCACACUUGGGCAGACAUGAAGCACAGAUCACAUACAGAAGACAUAACACGGAAGAUAGAAAUAGCAGUGAUGAGAACUACACAUAUCGGCUGAGGUACCUGGAAGUAUCAAGCGACCGUUUUCCGGGGUUGGCAAUGGGAGGGAAGAGCACUGCCGGUGGAGGAAGCGAAGAGAGUUGAC